CAGGAGUUGGAUUGCAUUGGACAAGAAGACAAAAUGAGUUGCUGUCAUCCUUUCAUGACCCUUGCAAAUCUAGCAACGGAAAUUCGAAGGCAAAACUUUCAGUUUCAUUUGGUUCUGGUAAGUUUGUUAUUUAUUUCUUUUGGUUAGAAAAAGCAAUUUGACACCAUAAAAAGACCUACUGUAGAAACAUCACAUCAACUCAUAAAUAUAGGAAGAAGAGCAUUGACCAUUUGUCUUUGGGAGAAAAAGAAGGGGGGGGGGGGGUAUUUUCAUAAUUUUCUUGAAGCAAACACUGAUUUAAUUUUCAU
rnacentral:lncRNA from 1 species